GACGAACGCUGGCGGCGUGCUUAACACAUGCAAGUCGAGCGAUGAAGUUUCUUCGGAAAUGGAUUAGCGGCGAACGGGUGAGGAACACGUGAAGAAUCUGCCCUCCACUUUGGGAUAACACAGGGAAACCUGUGCUAAUACCGAGUAUUGAAACAUAAGUGGCAUCACUGAGUUUUGAAAGAAUUUCGGUGGAGGAUGACUUCGCGGCCUAUCAGCUAGUUGGUGAGGUAAUGGCUCACCAAGGCAACGACGGGUAGCCGGCCUGAGAGGGCGACCGGCCACACUGGGACUGAGACACGGCCCAGACUCCUACGGGAGGCAGCAGUGGGGAAUAUUGGGCAAUGGAGGAAACUCUGACCCAGCGACGCCGCGUGCGGGAUGAAGGCCUUCGGGUUGUAAACCGCUUUCAGUAGGGAAGAAGCGAAAGUGACGGUACCUACAAAAGAAGCACCGGCUAACUAUGUGCCAGCAGCCGCCGCAG
rnacentral:rRNA from 1 species